GUGAGUAGAGGUGCAAUGUUUAAGAGUAGCAUAGGUGAUAACUUAGAUUAGAUGAAGCUAUGUGAAAGGAAAGAUUGCCGAAGGAUGAUAAUUGUCUAAGAAUUUGUUGUCCUGGUUAUGCAGUUAAUAGCUGUAUGACUGUCAUCGUGAGAUGGAGCGCUACUGA
rnacentral:ncRNA from 1 species